GAUGAACGCUAGCUACAGGCUUAACACAUGCAAGUCGAGGGGAAACGGCAUUACGUGCUUGCACUUUUUGGACGUCGACCGGCGCACGGGUGAGUAACGCGUAUCCAACCUUCCCAUGACUAAGGGAUAACCUGCCGAAAGGCAGACUAAUACCUUAUGGUCUUCACUGACGACAUCAGAUGUUCAGUAAAGAUUUAUCGGUUAUGGAUGGGGAUGCGUCUGAUUAGCUUGUUGGCGGGGUAACGGCCCACCAAGGCAACGAUCAGUAGGGGUUCUGAGAGGAAGGCCCCCUACAAUUGAAACAAGACACGGACUAAAAUCGUACGGGGGGCAGCAGUGAGGAAGAUUAGUGAAUGGGCGAGAGUCUGAACCAGCCAAGUAGCGUGCAGGAUGACGGCCCUAGGGGUUGUAAUCUGCUUUUGUAUGGGGAUAAAGUCAAUCACGCGUGAUUGUUUGCAGGUACCAUACGAAUAAGGACCGGCUAAUUCCGUG
rnacentral:rRNA from 1 species